rnacentral:lncRNA from 1 species
GCAUCCGAAAGUAUGCAAUCAUUUAUUGAAAUUUUGAGCGUCAUCUGCGUGUGUGUGCGUUUCUCUCUCUUCCUCUCUGUGCAAGUGUGUCCGAGAGUGUUGGUACACACAUUUGAAUGUGUUGGUGACUGCAAUUAACUAACAGACAAGCCGUUAGGCAAAGCAAUUUUGAUGAGACAAUUCCUGGAUAUAGGAAAAGGCAGAUCCAGAGAGAAACAGCAGCCUGACAUAUUCUGACCACUUGAUUAAUAUGCCAACUGUAAUUAUGUAUGUCUGUCUCUCUCUGUGUGCAUUGAUUGCAAGAUAUGAGCAAACAUCAAUCCAACGCACAAAACACACACGAAAAGAUAAAGUAUAACAGAAACAUUUUCCAAUAUCGAAACGUGCUUGAGAGCCUUCCACGCCCCCCAAAAGUUGUUCUACCAUUUUAAUUGGCGCCCAAAACGGCGGCUUCCAUCUUUUUUU